rnacentral:rRNA from 1 species
UACGAAGGGGGCUAGCGUUGCUCGGAAUCACUGGGCGUAAAAGGUGCGUAGGCGGGUUUUUAAGUCAGGGGUGAAAUCCUGGAGCUCAACUCCAGAACUGCCUUUGAUACUGAAGAUCUUGAGUCCGGGAGAGGUGAGUGGAACUGCGAGUGUAGAGGUGAAAUUCGUAGAUAUUCGCAAGAACACCAGUGGCGAAGGCGGCUCACUGGCCCGGUACUGACGCUGAGGCACGAAAGCGUGGGGAGCAAACAGG